CCGCGCAUUCUCCGCAUCGGCACUUAAUAUAUUUUCAUUUUAAACAAGUGCCGCCCUCACCCCCCAUCGACACUAAUUUAUCAAUUUUUUUAACCCCAAUCUAUGAAUCCUGUUUACUUCUCCGAAUGAAAAAUAAAAAAAACGAAAACUGAUUUGUUCGAAUGAAAUUGGAGGCAGACAGGGAGCUAAUCUCUGUUUUCUUCUUUCCAAUCUACAAUUUCGUGGAGCUGGAGACAGCUAGGGGCAGAGGCGCGACCAAAUCGGAGGACAAGAACCUUAUCAAUGGUGUCUCUGAUUAUGGAAUGAACCUCUAAUUUCUUAGACAAACGUAGCAGAGGUGAUAAUAUAGCUCGUCAAGUGAAAUAAAGCAUGGAAAACUAGAAGUCUCUGAUGUGGCUGAAAGUUCAUUUUCAGAUUUAAAAAAGAAGAAGAAGAAACAUGUUGAAAUUAGUAACUUAAAUGAUGAGGGUGGACAUGCAAUUGAAGAUUUGGAUGAUCACAAUGAAGAAGAUGAAGAAGAUGAUGUUUCCUUGCAGCACCGUUAUCGUUGGCUGACAGUGAUAAGCUUGGGGAUUCUGAUUCUCCUAUUUUACGAUCAAGUGAAGAGGAAAUGG